GGUUGGAAAUUUUAAAAAAUAUCACAAAUAUAAGCUUACAAGUGUGAUAAUGUUUACUAUGUCUUCUAGAGCCCACAUUCUUUGACGGGUUACUUCUUAAAGACAUGUGUUAGCCUUAUUUACCUGCUUUGACUACCUUAACAGGUAAGACUUAAUAAUGGUUUAACAAGUAAGUGACUACCUCGUGCAUUUAAUAUCUUUUUUUAAUUUUCAGAACUGCUGCUAUGUGUAUCGCUAUUUGCAUGUUCCAGCUUUUAGCACUGUUUUGAUAAUGACAUGAAAGCUGAAAUCUGGAAAGUACGAAAGAUAGAUUUAAUAAAACACAGUUAAAUGGUGGUUUACUCUUUUAAAAAUAUUUAUUAUCUCUCUCUCCCUCUCUCUCUCUCUCUCCCACCCAUUCCCCCCCCUACCCCGCAACAUUUUGUUCAGUCUUCUUAUGACACAACUUCCUCUGAGGCGAUCGGACAUGGUUUACACACUUCGUACGAAACAUGACUGAGCUACCUCAAACGACAUCGUGUCUGUUUUCUUUAGAAUUUUAAAAUCAUCAGUUUUCAGUUCAAGUGAAAACGUUGCUUUUGAGGGAAAACAGUUGAUAUCAUUUACUUCGAUUACUAAGCUCGUAAAUAACCCACUUCCUGAUAAUGAUUAGAUGCAGCCAUUCUCACGUUAGCCGUUAACUUCAGUCCCUUUCACACUGAACUUAGCCAUUGUUGUAUUGGUUUCCAAUAGUGAAGUAUCGAACUAAAACAGGAGCCUUAAUAAUUGUUCAGAUAAUGUCACAGCUAGUCAACGGAUGCUACUGACUAAAUUGACGAUACUGGUUUGUCCACUGAUUGCAUGCGUAAUUACGCUCCCCCUCCACGAAUAAAUCAAUUAAUCAGUCACUGUUACUCUGCUAUUCGAGGGAUAGCUUCUAAACUCAUAUUACACCAACAGCUGAAAAUUGAACGUAGUCUUUGGAGUCACUCGACUGCAUACGACCAUUCCACGCCAAACCUGAACAACCACUACCAUCGUUUCACGUAGACGUGCGUAAUCGGCGUUACCUAUGGAUGUCCCCUCCAGGAAAAGGAGCAUUCAGUUACAAAUGUUUCAUAGAACCAAAGGUCCUAAGAACGACUGCGUGUGUCAUACCACUAUUGGCAGUUGUACCCUCUACAACGUCAGGGGAAUGCUGUGCUGAUUCCUUAGACAGCGCAUGACUGAUGGUUUCACACUUUAGUCGAACAAAGCUAGAUUAUCAGUCUAAUGAACACACCGGGUACCGGUUUGACAUAUGUAGAUGAAUGUAUUUAUAUAGCAACCGAGCUCUCAAAAUCGAGGAAUUUAAUGCGGCAUUUCAACGUUCUGUGUUCAAACGAAAGAACAGAGACUCCUUAUGGUUGAAAAAUUGUAUGACGAUCGUCGGCACAGUUUACAAAAUUGUUAUAUAUAUACACAGGUAAAGCAUUUCUGAAAGUAAUGCUUCUUUCAAAAUCGCAAAGUAGGUUACGACAAUAGAAAUAGUAUGCAGUAACUAGGGGAUAGUCUGAAAUGGAGGAUACUUAACAGAGCAGAUGGAAAUAAACCUCCAGGAAUCCGUCUGCUUUAGUUUGCCACACCGUGAGUUGUAAGCUCCAAUACAUUCUCCACUACAUCCAGUCAUUGUAAGCAUCUGGCUACACUGAUCUUUUGAAAUACCUAAAAUGGGUCUUACGUAAACUACGUGAAGAUAAAACAUCAAAUACGUUGCAUGACACACGAAAAAGAACAUGAGUUAUGCUGUCUAAGUUAUCUUUCGAAGAAUCCAGCAAUGAAAGAGUAUCGAGCAAAAUAAGUAGUGACUUGCGAAGCAUUAGCAAUUAGAUAUAUAAACACGAAAUAUCUGUCUCUAGAGAUAACUUGAGCUGUUUUUACAUUGUAGGCAUUCUCUGUUAUUUCCUUCUCAAGCUUUUUCUUUGAAGGAACACUUUUAAAAUCCUGGUACUUUCAUGGAACACCUUCUCUACUUUUGACAUUAAUAAAAUUUUAUCAAGUGAAAAUAUAUUGUUUUGUUCAUUCAGUCCCUCAAUUUAAAAUCGUGCCUAAUAACACAGAAAUCAUAACAAAAUUAAAAAGAAUGAACAACUAUACCGUCAAAAUGUUGGCUAAACUGCCAUGUAAUCAACAGUUUUUCACGGAGCACUUAUUCCCUUCUCUUGGAAAUUUUUACAUAUUUUCAGAAGGAACUAAGAUCUUGUUAGCAUUAGCCGGUAAGUCUGAAACUCUACAACGCCGUCUAUCUUUUACAUCAACGGGUAUUCAGUAGUGGAAAUUCUAUGCCAAUUUGUGAUGUACAUUACAUUUAGCUUGAUUCUUAUUGACAGCAUGUGUUUGUACUGAAAUAUUAUUUACACCUUUAUUAUGUCACAUUUCAUAAGAAAUGUCUUAAAGACUGUUUUCUAUAACUUGUGGUUAACUGGUUCGUUAAAGAUGUCCGUUACGAUUCUGUGUUAGUCAAAAAUAGUGUUCGGUUCGGAUAAGGAGACCAUAAAUAAGAGUUUGUUAAUGUUUGUAGCGCCACUUGCUUCAACGAUGUCAUACACCGAGACAAAUUAUUAUGAUCCAGACGCACUUUAUACCGAAAACAAACAGGAAUUACAUUUAAUCAUAAAUAAUUGUUAGCCAUGCUUACUGUUGUCAGCUUUAGUCGCCACAUACAUAAAAUAUUAGAGCUUGCGUCCAGAUAAUUGGAUUUAUUUUGGUGUGGUUUGGCAUGGAGAGCUCAACGCAGCGUUCAUUAGCGAACUGAAUUUAUUGCCUUCUGGUUAACGGCAAUACCUGUCAUCAGAUUCUGACAAUACCGCAUAUACAUUUCUUUCUGUGUACUAAGGAUGACUCCAAACAUGCUGUGUCCGAUAAGAUCUGACCUAGUACCAUGCAAGGCAGGUUCUCUUUGUUCCAUAAACUCUUAACGCGAAUAUUUGAAGCAUUCAUCAGUUUCCCGAUUGUCGUGUAACUAUGCGAGGCACGAUUCCUAACACGAAUCGUUCGGUUCAAAACAAAUUUCUAAGCCAUUUCGCCCCUCAUCAGAAAUUUACUUCAUGUAACUUGUGCCCCAUGACUUUAUUCUGGCGAAAAUGAAAGGAAAAAUAGAAUUCAUUGGUAAUGAGAUAUGUAUAUAAACAAUAAACCGUUAGCCGGCCGGGGUGGUCGAGCGGUUCUAGGCGCUAUAGUCUGGAACCGCGCGACCACUACGGUCGCAGGUUCGAAUCCUGCCUCGGGCAUGGAUGUGUGUGAUGUCCUUAGGUUAGUUAGGUAAGUUAAGUCCCAUAGUGCUCAGAGCCAAUUAACCGUUAAGCAACCGGUUUAUAUUUUUCUUGAAGUAUACAUCACGGAAUAUCUUUGGGCAUUGCCAGGGUGUUUAAUUUCUAAUCCAGCUACUCAAAUAACGUUUUCCGUUGUUUAUGUGAUUCUUACCACACUUUUGUCUUUUCCGAACUUUCUUCUCGUCUUAAUGAUCUUGCUUUCGGCAGUGAAUUAAACACUUCCUUACUAAAAAAAAUUCAUCAAUGUGUCCUGUCAGAAAACUCAGAAUGAAUUAACCUGUAUACCUACCUUAUGCCAGAAGUUCGACGUAAAAAUCGAAACUAGUUGUGAUCGUACAAAGCAGGAACAAUCUCAACUCGUUCCGGUGAUUCUCUCUAAUGUUAUAAAUUUAAAUCGCUGUUGUCAAUCGUUUCAUACAAAACUUAGUGAUGUGUACAUUUCCUUUUUAUAUUUACCUGGUCUGAAAGCGUAAAUUGUUUGUAUACUGUUACAUCCAUUCUCUGGUAUUAAUUAUCUCUCUACACUCAACUUACACUAUGUAUUCCAGUCAGUGUACAUACACUGUAUAUAACGCAGCAUAGAGUGUACCUUGAAUGUUCUUUAUUAUAAAGCGCUUACGCGCAUCUCGUUGGGUAUAUGCUCCGAUCGUACUGCAGCACGUACUUACGUUAACUGAUAAUAAGAUGAUAUCUUUUAAGCUAGGCACCACUCAUUUCAAUGGAGUAUCUGAUUUAUUAACUCCACUAAACCCCACUGCUAUUUUAUAGAGACGUAAGAUUUCAAAUUAAUUGUAAGCUAUCGGCUUUUCUUACGACAAAAAUACAGAAAGUAACGUUGAUGCAGAGAAGCAAAUGUUGUUUUGCUCUAAAAUUAUGUGUAAAUCCUUAGGAAAAUCUUAUAGAACCUUUUUUAUUCCCUGGUCAUUACAUGCUUCUGAUACUUUGAAAUAGUCUUUUGUUUUACAUGCUACGUGUACUACUAGUACGUCAUUACUCGAUUAUCAUUUCUAAUUUUCAUUCUUCACAUACUGCUCGUUUUUAUCGUCUUUCAAUAAUUCUCAAAUCGAAGCGAGUGCCUCCCCUAGUUGCCAACUGUGAAGAGAGCUCUGAUGGUUUUGCGAGAAACAUGUGUAUUCAUUGACUACGGAUUUUAGUAUCAUGAAUUGUUUUCACUGUAUAUUGAAUUGUAAAAUGGUAAUAUUUAAACUGUGGCUUUUGUAAUAAAACUGUUUAAAAAUUUUA